rnacentral:lncRNA from 1 species
UUCGGUAUUUUGAUUUUAUCAACAGGCAUGUCUUGGCUACUUUCUAAAUUAUAUCUAUCAGAACUAUUAUCAUUUGUCAUAUCACUUAAACCGGAAGUUAUAGAUGACCUUAUGCUCCUCUUUUUCUCAUUUUUUCUGUGGUUGCUAAUUUUCUUUUAAUUCAAUCAGGGUCACAUUAAAAUAUUUGCGGAAGAUGUAUCGCGUUAUAAUUGUUUAUAACGAUUAAUCAUAUGAUACUUAUUUCCAUAUUUUAAGUCCUAAAUUGUUUUAUUAUGAAAACAUUUCCAUUUUCAACCCUUAGUAUAGAUUUAUGUACUC